rnacentral:rRNA from 1 species
GAUCCAGACUCCUACGGGAGGCAGCAGUGGGGAAUAUUGCACAAUGGGGGAAACCCUGAUGCAGCGACGCCGCGUGAGUGAAGAAGUAAUUCGUUAUGUAAAGCUCUAUCAGCAGGGAAGAAAAUGACGGUACCUGAGUAAGAAGCCCCGGCUAACUACGUGCCAGCAGCCGCGGUAAUACGUAGGGGGCAAGCGUUAUCCGGAUUUACUGGGUGUAAAGGGAGCGUAGACGGCAGUGCAAGUCUGGAGUGAAAGGCGGGGGCCCAACCCCGGGACUGCUCUGGAAACUGCGGCGCUGGAGUACGGGAGGGGCAGGCGGAAUUCCUGGUGUAGCGGUGAAAUGCGUAGAUAUCAGGAGGAACACCGGCGGCGAAGGCGGCCUGCUGGACCGUGACUGACGUUGAGGCUCGAGAGCGUGGGGAGCAAACAGGAUUAGAUACCCCGGUA